AGAGACUUAAGUUAAAAAAACUAAUAGCCUUCAAAGCUUUAAUUGAUACCUAAUCAGUCCCUAC
rnacentral:tRNA from 1 species